rnacentral:misc_RNA from 1 species
ACUGAAACUGCAUGAAUAUCGUAAAUAAAACCUGUUUCAGAAGAUUGAUCAAUUGUUUUUGUGUUUCAGAAUUGCCAAUAUAUUUGGACAAGACAGAGUUUCUAAAGUACGAAGAGGAAUUAAAUCUUUACAUAAAACUUCAUAAACUUUAAUGUUUAUUAAUAAUGCAUGUUUUGAAAACAUUUUGAUUACACAAAAUUUCAAUAAAACAAAAAUACAAAUAUGCUGUACAU